GCUGCUGUGGGCGGUCACGGAACGCGGCGCGGCGUUGUCGUCGCUGUCCGUCGACGACUGCGACGCAUACAAGGCGUUCCUCGCCGCGCCGGCC
rnacentral:tRNA from 1 species